CCACCGCCGUGGCGGCGCGGGACGAAGGGGACGUGCGCUCGCGGGUUCGCAAGGCGAAGCUCUGUUAGAUAACGAGGGUCACAGCACAUGCACGCCGCCUGUUCGAGCGAAUGCGUGAACCAAGGUGUGCUAGUGAGGUAACGACGCUCCCUUAGUUCUAGUUUUGUCCCUCCGGUUUGCAUCAUGUGCUUCAGAUUGAGCAUGCCUUAGCACGUUUUUUUAUUAAGAGGAGAAUAAAAGUGACGGUACAACAGCCCCAGCUAGACUAAUCCAUUUUAUUAAGAGGAGAAUAAAAGUGACGGUACAACAGCCCCAGCUAGACUAAUCCAACUCUAUAUCUGUGCUUAAGGGGGAUAUACAACAAUUUUCAGCUUUAAAGCUAGCGGAUACAACCAUGAAGAGCAACUUCUUUUUUAUCUGGGUGAGCUGAUUGUCGUGACUUCUCUUCCUUUUGUGUUUUGAGACAGACUGAGAAAUCCUUCACCGCUGCAAGGAGAUAAGGACAGCCGCCACCAGUUUUGAACGGCUAUCUCAUAUUCUCAUUGUUAACAGAAGUGCCAGGGAGAGGAGUCACAGCUUGCGGUGGGUAAGAUGAAGGUACGAGUAGCCAGAUGACUUCUUUCCCAUAUGGUGACAUGUAUAGGAUGAAUAGUUGACUGUUAUUCCUUCCAUGUUGAUCGGCCAUUUUGUUUUUUAUUGUACUUACUAAGCUAAUGUGAAAUGCAUAGCAUUGUGCUUAGUUGUAGAGCAACACAUAACAAUGAACUGGUGCAAGAAACGCAUGGCAACAU
rnacentral:lncRNA from 1 species